UACGUAGGGGGCAAGCGUUGUCCGGAUUUAUUGGGCGUAAAGGGUGCGUAGGCGGUCGGGUAAGUCGGAUGUGAAAUCCCAGGGCUCAACCCUGGAACUGCAUUCGAUACUGCCUGGCUUGGGUACUGGAGAGGAGACUGGAAUUUACGGUGUAGCAGUGAAAUGCGUAGAUAUCGAGAAGAACACUUAGGGCGUAGGCAAGACUCUGGACAAAUGCUGACGCUCAUGCACGAAGGCUAGGGUAGCGAACGGG
rnacentral:rRNA from 1 species